AGUGUGAAGAACUGUCGACAAAUUAUUUUAAAUUGGUUGUUGUUUUACAUGAGGCAGUUUAUAAAAAAAAACUAGAAAAAUGCCUAAGCGUCGUGAUUUAAGGAUAGAUUAAAAAUACAGUUGUUUUCUGAAAAAUGCAAAAAUAAAAGUGAAACAAUAAUCAACAUUACAUGGGGAAGAUUGAGUAAAUAUUGUUUGAACAGAUGAAUCCAAUUUUGUGGUGCCUCAGGUGAGACACAGAGUUGGCGAAGAUUUCAUGCUGGUAUGUGGUGCCGACUGUAAAACACAGCGGAGGCAGUGUUAUGAUCUGAGACUGCAUGUCAUGCAUUGGAAAAAUAGUUGUAUGUGAAAAACAAUGGAUUCGAAAAAAUAUAUAAAGGUGCUGGAACCCUCGUUGGAUAUGAUGUUUAGUGAUACAAACAUAGAUAGCAUCUAUUUCAAAUUGGAUAAUGCCCCAUGUCAUAAGUACAAAGCCAACAUAUCAAUAUAAUUUUAGCAUAA